UGGGGAAUAUUGCACAAUGGGCGCAAGCCUGAUGCAGCCAUGCCGCGUGUAUGAAGAAGGCCUUCGGGUUGUAAAGUACUUUCAGCGGGGAGGAAGGCGAUAAGGUUAAUAACCUUGUCGAUUGACGUUACCCGCAGAAGAAGCACCGGCUAACUCCGUGCCAGCAGCCGCGGUAAUACGGAGGGUGCAAGCGUUAAUCGGAAUUACUGGGCGUAAAGCGCACGCAGGCGGUCUGUCAAUUCGGAUGUGAAAUCCCCGGGCUCAACCUGGGAACUGCAUUCGAAACUGGCAGGCUAGAGUCUUGUAGAGGGGGGUAGAAUUCCAGGUGUAGCGGUGAAAUGCGUAGAGAUCUGGAGGAAUACCGGUGGCGAAGGCGGCCCCCUGGACAAAGACUGACGCUCAGGUGCGAAAGCGUGGGGAGCAAACA
rnacentral:rRNA from 1 species